AACAUCGCGCACCUGCGGGAACCUGCGGACGGAUCAUUACAGAGUUGCAAAACUCCCUAAACCAUUGUGAACGUUACCUAAACCGUUGCUUCGGCGGGCGGCCCGGGUCCUUCCCGGCGCCCCUCGGCCCUCGCGGGCGCCCGCCGGAGGUAAACCAAACUAUUGCAUUGUAUGGCCUCUCUGAGUCUUCUGUACUGAAUAAGUCAAAACUUUCAACAAUGGAUCUCAGAUCGGAAGAGC
rnacentral:misc_RNA from 1 species